rnacentral:misc_RNA from 1 species
AGAAUAGGGAGAACCCCUGAAUCAAUCACCUGCUUAUGCAUUGCUUCUCCAAUAUUGUUCAUCAACAUUUCAAGUAACAAAACUGCAUAAAGUUGUGUAUUUGCAUUUUUACUUCCUAAUCGUUUUUUUAUCGCUUUUAUGACCUCUUUAGCUUGCCUUUGAUCAUGAGCAACUAAUUCACAGAUUUGGAUAUUCUUCAUCCAAUCAGUUUCAGCCAGUUUCUCACUUGUUGCAGAGUUGACUAGUUCAGCAGCCAUCUUU